rnacentral:rRNA from 1 species
UACAGAGGGGGCAAGCGUUAUUCGGAAUUAUUGGGCGUAAAGGGCGCGUAGGCGGCUUUGCAAGUGACGGGUGAAAUCCCUCGGCUUAACCGAGGAACUGCCUGUCAAACUGCAUGGCUUGAGACCGGGAGAGGUGAGUGGAAUUCCCAGUGUAGCGGUGAAAUGCGUAGAUAUUGGGAGGAACACCAGUGGCGAAGGCGACUCGCUGGACAGAUAUUGACGCUGAGGUGCGAAAGCGUGGGGAGCAAACAGG